AUGGAUAACAGGUUGAUAUUCCUGUACCACCUAAAUCCGCUUGAACGAUGGGGGGACGCAGGAGGAUAAGGAAAGCGCGCUGCUGGUUAUGCGCGUCCAAGCCGUGAGGAAGUUGAGCAGGCAAAUCCACUCAACAUUAAUUCCAGGCGGUUAUGGGGAGGGAAAUUUAGUACCGAAGUUCCUGAUUUCACACUGCCAAGAAAAGCCUCUAGUGAGGAAAUAGGUGCCCGUACCGCAAACCGACACAGGUAGGCACGGUGAGUAACCGAAGAUGAUCGGGAGAACUCUCGUUAAGGAACUCGGCAAAAUGACCCCGUAACUUCGGGAGAAGGGGUGCUUCUUUUAAGGAGAAGCCGCAGUGAAAAGGCCCAAGCGACUGUUUAGCAAAAACACAGGUCUCUGCAAAGCCGUAAGGCGAAGUAUAGGGGCUGACACCUGCCCGGU
rnacentral:rRNA from 1 species